rnacentral:tRNA from 1 species
GGUAAGUAGCUUAGUGGUAGAGUGCUUGCUUUGCAUGCAUGAGGCCCUGGGUUCAAUUCCUCAGCACCA